GCUUGGGUAAAUUGUGUAGCUUAACUAUACGAAUACCGAGUAGACUGCUAAACUUGGGACCGGGAGAGGCUAGAGGUACUCCUGGGGUAGAGGUGAAAUUCUGUAAUCCUAGGGGGACCCCCAGUGGCGAAGGCGUCUAGCUAGAACGGGUCUGACGGUGAGGGACGAAGCCCUGGGGCGCAAACCGGAUUAGAUACCCGGGUAGUCCAGGGUGUAAACGCUGCUUGCUUGAUGUUAGUUGGGCUCCGAGCCCAACUAGUGUCGGAGAGAAGUUGUUAAGCAAGCUGCCUGGGAAGUACGGUCGCAAGACUGAAACUUAAAGGAAUUGGCGGGGGAGCACAGCAACGGGUGGAGCGCGCGGUUUAAUUGGAUUCAACGCCGGAAAUCUCACCGGAGGCGACGGUUAUAUGAAGGCCAGGCUGAUGACCUUGCCUGAUUUUCCGAGAAGUGGUGCAUGGCCGUCGUCAGUUCGUACCGUGAGGCGUUCUGUUAAGUCAGACAACGAACGAGACCCUCAUCUUUAGUUGCUACUGGUAAGUCCGCUUACUAGGCACACUAAAGAAACCGCUGGCGAUAAGUCAGAGGAAGGUGAGGGCAACGGUAGGUCAGUAUGCCCCGAAUCCUCCGGGCUACACGCGCGCUACAAAGGCUAGGACAAUGGGUUCCUACACCGAAAAGGUGACGGUAAUCCCGAAACCUAGUCGUAGUUCGGAUUGAGGAUUGAAACUCAUCCUCAUGAAGCUGGAAUCCGUAGUAAUCGCGGGUCAACAUCCCGCGGUGAAUAUGCCCCUGCUC
rnacentral:rRNA from 1 species